rnacentral:rRNA from 1 species
UACGUAGGGUCCGAGCGUUGUCCGGAAUUAUUGGGCGUAAAGAGCUCGUAGGCGGCUUGUUGCGUCGACUGUGAAAACCCGCGGCUUAACUGCGGGCUUGCAGUUGAUACGGGCAGGCUAGAGUUCGGUAGGGGAGACUGGAAUUCCCGGUGUAGCGGUGAAAUGCGCAGAUAUCAGGAGGAACACCGGUGGCGAAGGCGGGUCUCUGGGCCGAUACUGACGCUGAGGCGCGAAAGCGUGGGGAGCAAACAGG